CCUCCAGGACACAGGGGUGAAGCCCAUCACCUUGAGACCAGCAUCCACCCGCCAGGACUUCUGCAGCUGCAGCUUCUCCGGGACAGCCUCCUGUCUCUCCAGAAGGAAAACCUCUCUCCCACAGCAACUUUGGUGACCUGAGCAGAAAAAUGGGGGCACAUUGGAUGGAUCCUGAGUAUGGAAAUCAUCUUCCAGGCUGCCCCAGGAGAGAUGGAUGUUUCCUGAUGCUUCCCUUAUCUCUGCAGCAGCUCAGCCAUCCCAAAGCUUCCAGGGCUAUAAGAAGAACCAACACACACACCCAGAGACCCCGAGGCAGAGGCUCUGCAGAGCCACAUGGAAGUCAUUACAGGGAUCACUGCCCCAAGGAGCCUCCUUCCCUGGCACAUGGUGUCAGCCAGCAUAGCCUGUCCUCAUCUCCACCCUGUCCCCAUCUUCCUCCCCAUCCUUUUCCUCAUCUCCAUUCCUAUUCCCAGCCCUAUCCCCAUUCCUGCCCCCAAAUUGUCCCCAAACUAUCUCCAGCCCUGUCCCCAUUCCUGUCCAAGAACUAUUCCCAUCCCUAUCCCCAUUCCUGUCCCCUGGCUCAUUCCCAU